AUGGCUCCCCGGCACGAGGCGCCGCGGCUUCCCGGACUCGUCCAGACACGGGGCGGCGCGCAGGAGAAGCCCAUCGAGCUGCCGGCGGUGGCGGCAGCGGCGGUGGCUGCAGGAGCGGCCGCCGCGCAGGCUGAUGACGAACGGGCGCGGGGGCGGGGGGGCGCGGUCGGCGCGGGGGCGACGCGAGAAGAUGACGUACGACGAGCGGGGCGGCUCGGCAGCAUGGCGUCCGUGGCGCUGAGUGAGGCGGAGAAGGUGUAUAUCGUGCACGGCGUUCAGGAAGACCUCCGUGUGGAUGGCCGUGGCUGUGAGGACUACCGAUAUGUCGAAGUGGAAACCGACGUGGUGUCUAACACCAGUGGGUCUGCCAGGGUCAAGCUGGGUCACACAGACAUCUUGGUGGGAGUGAAAGCAGAAAUGGGGACACCGAAGCUGGAGAAACCAAAUGAAGGUUACUUGGAGUUCUUCGUUGACUGUUCGGCCAAUGCUACCCCUGAAUUUGAAGGUCGAGGAGGUGAUGACCUUGGCACGGAGAUUGCUAAUACCCUCUACCGGAUAUUUAACAACAAGAGCAGCAUCGACCUCAAGUCCCUCUGCAUUAGUCCCCGGGAGCAUUGUUGGAUCCUCUAUGUGGACGUGCUGCUGCUGGAAUGCGGUGGGAAUUUGUUUGACACCAUCUGCAUUGCUGUGAAAGCUGCUCUCUUCAACACCAGGAUACCAAGAGUUCGUGUUCUAGAGGAUGAAGAGGGGUCCAAGGACAUUGAACUCUCAGAUGACCCUUAUGACUGCAUCCGGCUGAGUGUGGAGAACGUCCCCUGCAUUGUCACCCUGUGCAAGAUUGGCUAUCGGCAUGUCGUGGAUGCUACUCUUCAGGAGGAGGCCUGCUCCUUGGCCAGCUUGCUGGUGUCCGUGACCAGCACGGGAGUCAUGACGUGCAUGAGGAAAGUGGGGAAGGGCAGCCUGGACCCAGAGAGCAUCUUUGAGAUGAUGGAGGGAUGCAGCCAUCCGGAAGUGCCUGCCGUGACAUAUACAACAUCCAGCGUUCCCUGCCUUUAGCAUCUCUGCUCUGCGUGGCAGCAACGGCCAAGACCCCGUGCAGGGCUCAGCUCGGGCCCAUCUGAGCCGCUCUGCGGAGAGAUUUGGUGGCAGACCGGCAAGCGAGUGGGCAAGGUGCUGCACGCCUCCCUGCAGAGCGUCCUACACAAGGAGGAAAGCCUGGGGCCCAAGAGACAGAAAGUCGGCUUCCUGGGAUGAUUUGCACAUCAACGCAAAUGCGGGGUGUUUGGCUUUUUUGCUUUUCCUUUUAAGCUGCAGUUUGUAUAUAUUUUUCUUAUCUGUUAUAAAUUUGAGGCAACAUUUGUACAUGUAAAAUUAAAGUAUAUUUUCUAGUCUG